rnacentral:rRNA from 1 species
AUGGCCAGGCGCGUGCCAGCAGCCAGCCCGUGGGCCUUCCUCCCGUCGGAUCUGCUCCUCGACAUCUCCGGCCACUUGCACGACGCUGGCGACUUCGUCCGCUUCCACGCCGUCUGCAAGCCAUGGCGCGACACGGCGGGGGCGACUCGCCCCAUAUUCCUGCCAUGGGUUAUCGCGCCGGGAGACGAUGUGGGCAUCAUCCGGCAAUCCACCGUCGACUUUCGAGGUAUCUACUCCAAGGCCUCGAGCAACCAUGGCUAUGUUGCCAUUGUGGAGCCGCCGGGCGCACCAUCUAACACCACCAGGAGGAACUGGGUGGUUGCCGCAGAUGGCACGGCAGCCUCGCUCUUCGUCGCGCAUCCUGAGCCAAGACUCAUCCAACUUUUCACUGGAAAGGUCACCCCCUUGCCUCCUUUCCCACUUGAGCAGGUGAUGGAGUAUCCCCGCGGCAUUGUUUACGCUGAUGGCACCAUUUUUCUGUACCAAUUUAAUUACGAACAAUGCCAGGAUCAUCGUUUUGAUAAGACGCUCGCCUUCACGGUGUCCAUCCUGCGCCCAGGCAAUGUGACUUGGGAAACCAUGAAGAAAAGGUUGAAUGUACUUAUAAGGAACUGUUGUAGCGCUGCAUAUCACAACGGCGAAAUCCUAGUUUUCGUGGGCGCCAACAUAUGGUGUUUCGUAACGCUGAAUUUCGAAGCCAACGGCGACAACAUGGGUGGAAUGCUCGAGGAGCCGUGGAAUAGAGUUUCCACCUAUGUCUUGGACUCUCGUGGCGAGCUAUUGAUGGCGUCCAUCUGGGUGGAUGAGUCAUUGCAGUGUCACGACAACCACCACCAAGUGCUAUCAGUGACACUGAAAGAAGUGGAAGGCAGCAGCUGGAAGCGAUGGCUAAGGAAGGACGGCCGGAGCUUGGGUGAUCGAUUACUGUUUCUCGGAUCUCCUGCCAGCUUUACCAUGGACGCUGCACAACUAGGCACGAGCGGCGGGUAUGUCUACUUCCCCUUUAGACGCGGCAUGUUCUGUUACAAUCUUGCCAACGGCAUGGCCAAGCGUGUGAAGCGGCCUCGUUCUGAAUGGCGCGUCGAAGACCUGUGCGUGUGGCUUCAGCCCCAGCCAGCCAUUGCUCCAAUCCAGGAAAUCAAAGAAAGCAUCAACGGUGCGAAUGAGUAA